AAGAGCCUCUUUUCAGCCUCACAACACUAUCUACAUGCAGAGUCCCCUAAAUGUUUAGAGCAGCAUUAUUCAUAUCUGCCAAAUGUAGAAACUCAAAUGUCAAGCAACUGAAGAAUGGAUAAGCAAAAUGCAGUCUGUUCAUGCAAGGGAAUAUUAUUUAACCAUAAAAAGAAAUGAAAGAAUAUUGCAAUACGUGUGAAACUUAAAAGAUGUGGUAGGCAAAAGAAAUCAGUCAAAAAGGUCACAUUCUGUUUCACAUUCUAUGAAUUAUUUAGAAUAGGCAAAUGCAGACACAGAAAGUAAACUAGUGCUAACCAGGGGGUAGGAGAAGAGGGACUGGGGAAUGACUGCUAUUGGUAUGGGUUUUUUUUUGAAAUAAUGAAAGUAUUCUGAAUUACAUGGUAAUGAUGGUUGCACAAUUCUGAAUGCACUAAAAAAUUACUGAUUGUAUAUUUAAAAGGGUGAAUUGUAUGGUAUAUGAAUCACAUAUCAAUGAAGCUAUUUUUGUUUUCUUAAAAGAGUCAUAAGGAAGUUAUAUUACAGUAUAGGUUGCUGGUGUAUUUCAUCAUUGUUGGCAGUGAAACUCUCCCUAUCCUUAGCUUUUUAAACUGGCAAUUAUUAACCACACAUUUCACUUUCUCAUUUUGAGUAUUCCUGUUAAAUAGGAAACUCUAUUCCAAUUUAAUCAUUACAGUUAAAUACGUAAACUCUAAUCCUAAUCACUUUUCUUUAGCAGAAGCCAUCUUAGGUUUGAAAUAAACCAAAC
rnacentral:lncRNA from 1 species